UGCGGAGGAUCAUUAUCGUACAACCGAGGUGCAAGGGCUGUCGCUGACCUUUCCAGGUCGUGCACGCCCAAGCACGCUCUCACACAUCCAUCUCACCCCUUUUGUGCAUCACCGCGUGGGCCCCCCUUUGCAGGAGGGCUUGCGUUUUCACAUAAAAACUUUGAUACAGUAUAGAAUGUUUUCUUUUGCGGUCACACGCAAUCAAUACAACUUUCAACAACGGAUCUCUUGGCUCUCGCAUCGAUGAAGAACGCAGCGAAAUGCGAUACNUAAUGUGAAUUGCAGAAUUCAGUGAAUCAUCGAAUCUUUGAACGCACCUUGCGCCCCUUGGCAUUCCGAGGGGCACACCCGUUUGAGUGUCGUGAAAUCAUCAAAAACCCUUUUUCUUCNAAAAGGGUUUUUGGACUUGGAGGUUUCAUGCUUGACCUUUGCCUUUGAAGGUUGAGCUCCUCUCAAAUAAAUUAGUGGGGUCCGCUUUGCUGAUCCUUAAUGUGAUAAGAUGUUUUCUACAUUUUGGAUUUAGCACUGUCCCUUGGAUGCCUGCUCCUAACUGUCCUUUGGACAACGAUGGUGCUCCGGUCAAUCGCCAUCUACGUUGGCGGGA
rnacentral:misc_RNA from 1 species